GUGGGGAAUAUUGGACAAUGGGCGCAAGCCUGAUCCAGCCAUGCCGCGUGAGUGAUGAAGGCCUUAGGGUUGUAAAGCUCUUUUGUCCGGGAAGAUAAUGACUGUACCGGAAGAAUAAGCCCCGGCUAACUUCGUGCCAGCAGCCGCGGUAAUACGAAGGGGGCUAGCGUUGUUCGGAAUCACUGGGCGUAAAGCGCACGUAGGCGGACCAUUAAGUCAGGGGUGAAAGCCUGGAGCUCAACUCCAGAACUGCCUUUGAUACUGAUGGUCUCGAGUAUGGAAGGGGUUGGUGGAACUGCGAGUGUAGAGGUGAAAUUCGUAGAUAUUCGCAAGAACACCGGUGGCGAAGGCGGCCAACUGGUCCAUUACUGACGCUGAGGUGCGAAAGCGUGGGGAGCAAACAGGAUUAGAAACCCCAGUAGUCC
rnacentral:rRNA from 1 species